rnacentral:lncRNA from 1 species
UUAAACCUAUAACUCCCACAUAAAUGGCACUCGUAUUAAUGAGUAUUAGGCCCUUCACUUGCCCUUAAGUUGUGAGAUUUUCUACCUAUAAAUUUUAGCCCAAUGCCUAUCUUUUGAAAAAAAAACACAUCUUCAAAUCAUUUCUAACUGGCAUAGUAUAUCUUUGAAAAUAAGUAGAAGUUGUACCAUAGCAUCACAAAGUAUCAUAACAUAGUCUUUUCAUGAAAACAUUAACUUUGAACAUACCUGGGCCGUAGGAUGAGAUUGAUGGAUGGAUGCAAGAUGCCAUGGAGUAUCUUAGACUUUUUCAUUUUUAUUUUUUUAAAAAAAAAAGGUUUAGCCGGUUCUGUAGACCAAGUAUGUUUUAAAAAUAAAAUAAAAAAAAGAUUUAGCCGACGGUUCUGUAGAAAAUCUCACAACUUAAAAGGCAAGUGAAGAGCCUAAUACUCAUUAAUACGAGUGCCAUUUAUGUGAGAGUUAAUAGGUUUAAAAAUGUGCUAGAAAAUCGUGUAGGAAUUUGACUUUUCAUAUUCCGCGUACUUUGGUUGAUACUGUACAGCCUUUAGUAUUUCUAUCAUAACUUCUUCUCCUGAUAUCCGAUUGAAAUAAUUCAAAAUGCGUUGAAAAGCUAACUCAAAGAGUUACAACUUUUCUUUAGAUAUCACUUUCCAAAUCGAAUGUUUUCUAUGUCGUAAAUGGGUCUCAAAUGAGACUAAAAAUCUGAAGUAUACUUUAACCAUCCAAUAUUCAUGUCUUAGUGCCACUAAGGUGUUAAAAAUUAUUUGGGGUUCUACAAUUCAAAGCUAGAAAGGAAGGACAAAAGCCUUUUACUUGCUCCGCGUUUGAGGGCUCACAUAACUCGAUCGAAGUAAAGCAUUAGCAAAACUAAUUUACAUUACCCCGGACUUUAAUAACAAAGUAGACUUGAACACUCAAUUUAUUUCUUUAAUCUAUUCAUAAUUCACCUUUACGAAACUCUACAGAAUUCAAAACCCAAAUUUGAAAGAAAAAGCAGUUCUGCUUUUUUCCUUUUAAUUUUGUCUCAUUUUAAGUAGCUAAAAUUACCAAUAUAUAGUUAAUAUACUACUGUCAUCUUGCAAGGAACUAAUAGAUAAAGAUCAUCAAUCCAGAUCAACAAAUGCAAUCACAGCGUUAUUCUGCAGAAAAUGCUGAAAAAAUAUCCAUUAGAUUUAAAAAAAUAAACAAAUUAUUUUUCACCGAAUGACACAUCAGAUCAUGUAGAUCCCAAUGUAAAUUUGAGACGAUAGAGACCCUAAACUGUUUAUGAUAUAAAGCUAUGCAAAAUUUUUACCAAAUUCUAAUUAUUAAUUUUUUAAAUCAUUACCACCGGUCCUUUCGCAAUACCCGUUUUCGAAUUUCCCACAAACAACAUCUCAGAUGAAUAUGCAACUUGCAAUGCGCAUUUAUUUAUUAAGAUUGAGCUAGAAAAUCAACAAUUACAACGUACUUAAAAAUAU